AUUGAACGCUGGCGGCAUGCCUUACACAUGCAAGUCGAACGGUAACGGGCCUUCGGGUGCCGACGAGUGGCGGACGGGUGAGUAAUACAUCGGAACGUGCCCGAUCGUGGGGGAUAACGAGGCGAAAGCUUUGCUAAUACCGCAUACGAUCUACGGAUGAAAGCAGGGGACCGCAAGGCCUUGCGCGGACGGAGCGGCCGAUGGCAGAGUAGGUAGUUGGUGGGGUAAAGGCUUACCAAGCCGACGAUCUGUAGCUGGUCUGAGAGGAUGAUCAGCCACACUGGGACUGAGACACGGCCCAGACUCCUACGGGAGGCAGCAGUGGGGAAUCUUGGACAAUGGGCGCAAGCCUGAUCCAGCCAUGCCGCGUGCAGGAUGAAGGCCUUCGGGUUGUAAACUGCUUUUGUACGGAACGAAAAGCCUUCUUUUAAUACAGGAGGGUCAUGACGGUACCGUAAGAAUAAGCACCGGCUAACUACGUG
rnacentral:rRNA from 1 species